rnacentral:rRNA from 1 species
UACGGAGGAUGCGAGCGUUAUCCGGAUUUAUUGGGUUUAAAGGGUGCGUAGGCGGGCUGUUAAGUCAGCGGUAAAAUUUGGAGGCUCAACCUCCACGAGCCGUUGAAACUGGCGGUCUUGAGUGGGCGAGAAGUAUGCGGAAUGCGUGGUGUAGCGGUGAAAUGCGUAGAUAUCAGGAGGAACACCAGUGGCGAAGGCGGCUUACUGGACUGUAACUGACGUUGAGGCUCGAAAGCGUGGGGAGCAAACAGG